GAGAAUAAAGAAGGAGAAUAUUAUUUCCUUAAAAUUCUCUUGUGUCUACAACUAAGUAUAUAUAGAAAGAUUAUACAGAAAAAUAAUAUAAACAAUUGAGUCUGAUGUGACAAGUCUCCAACAGCUUUUUUUAAUUCAAAAUUCAAAUGGUUUCUUUUGCUUCCAAAGUUGUGUGGAUGAAUUCCUGUGGAUGAGUUUUUGAUGAUGGGUUUCUGGAUGGAUUGGCUCUCUUCGAGACUCCAUGUUUCUUCUUCUUCUCGAUAAUACAUAGGGAGAAAAAAACAGAGAGAAUCAUGAUAACUUAUGUAGCUAUUUAAAGAGAGAAAAUGUGACACUGUAUAGAAAUGGAAUCACGAAUAUGUACAACGUUCUCAUGAAUUCAUCAAUGCUAUUUACCUCUGAAGCUUGAUAACGCACAACACUUUAUCCUUCAUUUCUUCUUCGACAAGUGUAUACUCUUCCAUAAUCCAAGUUAGCUACACUUCCUCUCCCCUCUCAAUAUCAAAAUAUUUGUCUUUAUCCUCGUCGCAAAACUUAAAAACUCUCUUGAAACCCACAACAUCAUGGCUCAUCGAGUAGAUCGGACUAUCAUCAUCCAUGGUCCUCCAGCUCCAGCAGCCGCUAUCACAUCUAUCGGUAUAACCACAAGCCUCUGUCCGGUUAGCGAAGAUGCAGAGUCUAGAUUCUGUAACCUCUGAUCUUCAUGAUCCACAAGCCUCAAUGGAUGCACACAGUACACGUAAACAUAUAUUUCGCUACAGGAAAUGUGAGUAUUAAUAGCAGAAUAUGAUAGCGUUUUUUUUAUUGUGCUAUGGUUGACAUACCUCUUAUUAUUAGAUAGCGUUUGCGAAAAUGCAAACGCUAUGGAAAAUUAAAGCGGAAAAAUACUUGACUUUCCCUCUCACCCUUGUUUCACUCUUCUCACUCCAUUUUAUUUGCCUCCAAAAAUCCUAAACCCUAAAACCAAAAUUUUAAACACAACCCCUAAACUCUAACAAAUAUUUUAAACUCUAAUAUUUUAAUAUCAAAUCUCAAAUUUAACUUCAAAUCUUAAAUAUAAACUCAAAAAUUAAUAUUUUUAGAAAUUAACCUCAAAUCUUAAAUAUAAACUCAAAAAUUAAUAUUUUUAGAAAUUAACCUCAAAUCUUAAAUCAGUACCCCCAAACCUUUAGCUUUCAAACCCUCUACUCAAACCUUUAUUCUAAACUCCAAACUUGAAAACUAAUUUUAAAAAUUAAUUAUAUACCAUAAACUAUAACUAAAAAUUUUAAAAUUCUAAUAUUUUUAUUAUUUUUAAAAUAAUCAUACCAUAAGCUCUAAUUAGAAAGUUUAUUGUCAUAUAUAUAUAUCAUAUCCUAAAUUAAUUAUAUAUCCUAAACUCUAACUAGAAAUCUUAAAAUUCUAAUCUUUUUAUUAUUUUAAAAUAUUUUAGUUUCAAAUUUUAAACUAUAAAAUACAAACUAUAAAAUUUAAAUAAAUGAGUAUAUUCAUAAUAUAACUUCAAUCCCUAAACUCCUAACCACAUAUUUCAUAUUGAUCUAUAUCAUAAAACAUUAAAUCUAAAUUUUUAAUAUUUUAGUCAAUGACACAAUUUUAAAAUUUAAAUACAAAAUACAGAUUAAAAGUUUUAAAUCAUGAUAUCAAAUUAUUUAAAGUUUAAAUAAUUUUACAACAAUUAUGAAUAAAAAAAAAGAUAAUAUGUACUGUUUGUUCUAAGGCAUUGAUUGAUUUUUAAAUUAAAGGUCCAAAAUCAAUCUCCUAUCUAUCUUCACCUUUGUUUUCUAUUGGUUGGACGCGGAUCACCUUCUGCACCGUUAGAUGAUACUGAAUCAACGUUUGAGAUUUGUCAAUUAUUUUCAAUUGUUUUCUGAGAACAGAUUAGUGAGAGAGAGAGAGAGAGAGAGAGAGAGAGAGAGAGAGAGAGAGAGAGAGAGAGAGAGAGAGAGAAAGAGAGAGAGAAAGAGAGAGGCGAUGGGUAAAGAACUCGACGCCCUAGCAAACCUCGGCUCCUUCUCUUCAUCUUCCUCUUCCUCGUCGGCCUCGAGAUAGAUCUGAAAUCUCUCCGCCGCACUAGCCAAAAGGUGAUUUCCAUCGCAGCCGCCAAAAUGCUCCUUCCCUUCGCUUUCCCGGAAGUUUCUUCACCGGAAUCUGUACCUUCACCAGCACAUACCACGGUGGACGGGAUGACUCGAAGCCACUCAGAGUGGGCCUUCCAGAGGCUUCUCAAGGAGAUGUCCGGUUCCAGUCAAACCAACAACUCAAUCGAUCGGCCAGCUCCCUCCGGUUCAGUCUAAUCAGUCUCUUUCAACCGCCGAUGUUGUUGAGAUUGAGAAGUAGUGCGGCUGUAUAAGCGCUUUUCAUGUGCUACAUUUCUUGAUGCUCAAGGAAAUCUGAAAGUCUGGUUUUGGAUUCAGUGCUUUGUCCCAACAAGUCAUUGUAGAACAUAAGCUUUGAAGGAUUGUAUCGAGCAGACAAGGAAGACAAGGCGACAGAGAAACUCUGAUGUAUGUAGCAGAGGACUCGAUAGAAGUCAACUUUGGUGACUAUGUGAUACGACGACAGCACUCUGAAGGCGGAUGCUCUGGAGGCUGGAGGCGUAGGAUUAGGGUUUCUGGCAGAGGCUUAGUUUAGCUUUAGGUUAAUUGUGUUUUGGCCAAUUAUGUUUUGGUUUAAUGAUUUAAUUUGUUUUUUGUUUAAUGUAUUCUUUAGUUAUUUGUACACUAAUGUUAAUCAACAAAUAAAAUUGAAUUUUUAAUUAUAAAUUAAUUUUUGAUUUAA